CGGACGGGUGAGUAACGCGUGAGAAUUUGCCUUUAGGAGGGGGACAACAACUGGAAACGGUUGCUAAUACCCCAUAUGCUUUCGAGUGAAAUGGAUUUUUCCGCCUAAAGAGAAGCUUGCGGCUGAUUAGCUUGUUGGUGAGGUAAUGGCUCACCAAGGCGACGAUCAGUAUCUGGUUUGAGAGGACGAUCAGACACACUGGAACUGAGACACGGUCCAGACUCCUACGGGAGGCAGCAGUGGGGAAUUUUCCGCAAUGGGCGAAAGCCUGACGGAGCAAUACCGCGUGAGGGAUGACGGCCUAUGGGUUGUAAACCUCUUUUUUCAGGGAGGAAUCAAAUGACGUGUACCUGAAGAAUAAGCAUCGGCUAACUCCGUGCCAGCAGCCGCGGUAAGACGGAGGAUGCAAGUGUUAUCCGGAAUCACUGGGCGUAAGGCGUCUGUAGGUGGUCCAAUAAGUCAACUGUUAAAUCUUGAGGCUCAACCUCAAAAUCGCAGUCGAAACUAUUAGACUAGAGUAUAGUAGGGGUAAAGGGAAUUUCCAGUGGAGCGGUGAAAUGCGUAGAGAUUGGAAAGAACACCGAUGGCGAAGGCACUUUACUGGGCUAUUACUAACACUCAGAGACGAAAGCUAGGGUAGCAAAUGGGAUUAGAUACCCCAGUAGUC
rnacentral:rRNA from 1 species